GCACAAGCGGUGGAGCAUGUGGUUCAAUUCGACGCAACGCGAAGAACCUUACCUGGGCUCGAAAUGUAGUGGAAUCCGGCAGAAACGUCGGCGUCUAGCAAUAGACCGCUAUAUAGGUGCUGCAUGGCUGUCGUCAGCUCGUGUCGUGAGAUGUUGGGUUAAGUCCCGCAACGAGCGCAACCCUUAUCUUCAGUUGCUACCAUUUAGUUGAGCACUCUGACGAAACCGCCUCGGAUAACGGGGAGGAAGGUGGGGAUGACGUCAAGUCCUCAUGGCCUUUAUGUCCAGAGCUACACACGUGCUACAAUGGCCGGUACAAACCGCUGCAAACCCGCGAGGGGGAGCUAAUCGGAAAAAGCCGGCCUCAGUUCGGAUUGGAGUCUGCAACUCGACUCCAUGAAGCUGGAAUCGCUAGUAAUCGUGGAUCAGCAUGCCACGGUGAAUACGUUCCCGGGC
rnacentral:rRNA from 1 species